UGCUAUCUUAACUUUCUCAGCACUCCCACUGGGAAUACAGAUCAUGAUUUCCAAAUGUGCUGCAGAAAGUUGAGCAACGAAUCAAAGGCUGAUUUCAGAGGCUGCGUGGGCAGUCUUGUGUGCAGUAACCGCCAAAAUAUAACAAGUAAAAUACAAUCACCUAAAAAGACAAAAAUCUUUAAUAGCCUAUCUGGUUUCUUUCAAUAAUGUAGCAUAAUUUCGGUUUCAUGGUUGAUGAUGAUGACGAUAAUUGUAAAAAUUUGACCGCAACACAAACAAAAUUCAGCAAAUUUAGGAUAACCACAGGAUUAUCACAGAGAAUCUAAGGAGUUGUUUUACACUGACAUUACACUACUUUUACCAUCAUGGUGUUCUCCCUCUUUGAACCUCACUAAUCUUGAGCAAACCUAUGUACGUGCUAAAAUAUAUGUGCAUGAUGGACUCUGUGCACAAGCGUUAGUGACUAACUUCCGAUGUCGGGAUAUCAGUUUCCGGGUUUAAUGUCUAAAACUUCUUAACAUACCUGAACAACGAGCAGGGAAAAUCAAAUUUCAAAUACUUUUUUUUAUCACCGAUAUCAAACAUCAGCAUGAUCUCAGAAAAGUUUUAUGUGUCAGUUUGCGCUGCCUUGAGCUGAGCUGUUUCCUUAUAAUGGACUGCUAUGGAGGAGAAAACACAUAAUGUGAGAUUAUUCAUUUAAUCAGUGCGGCUCGUUCUUUUGACAACAGCUAGUGUUUAUAUUACAAGUAAAAUCUGACAGUUAUGUGGUGGCUUUCCCCAGUCGUUUUUUUUAAGUCGUUUUAGAAAUUAAACCGGAAACUGAUAUCCCAAUCUCUGACAACAUCAGAUGUUCAUCACAAACGCUUGUGCACCGAGUCCAUUAUGGAGAAUCUGUUGUGGUGGUUUUAAAAGAUUGCAUGCAAUAUUUAUUUUUAAAUCCAACAUAGAUAAAAGAGUCACAAUAUAUGUCUGCCCAGGAAUUGACCAUUGUUUUCAUGAUUACCCGCUGUUAAUCGAAAUCGAAUCCCGAGAUGUAUAUUUGGACUUGGCCUGAGGGCGUGAGAUUGAACUGCCCUUUGAAGCACUCUGUCUUUCCUGUGUGUUUUCCUGUGUAUGUGAGCUAGAUUUGGCUCAUGAGAACACAACUGUAAACUACAUUUACAAAGAGCACAGUUCUGCAGUAGGCUUCAAUUCUAUGCAAAAUGCUUUACCGCUCAAAUGCAUAACAAUCCCUGAUGAAAACCAUAUGCUGUGUUUUAGAUCCUGGUCUCCAGCAUGGAAUGUUUUUGUGGUGAAACAACUUCACUUGAAAACCCGGUUCACCAGUUUAACCAGCACUGACCCGCUUGUUAAUUCAAGCUGGUUUUUGCAGCAGCGAAAUGAGGCAUUUUAUUUUCAUAAUGGAAUGUUGGUGUCUAUGAGCACCAUGAGUAUUUUUCACAUGACUAGUCUGAAGCAUCACCCUGGAGAUGGCAGCUGUAAACAUUGUGGAGCUCUUAACACUCUGCAGGUAGUGCUCUUAUUUACAGUCUGUUCUGGACAUGUUCCAUCUUUGUUUUUCCACAUGGUCCAGUUGCUCUAACCGCAGCUCUCAGAAGUUCGGCAACCCAGUGGAAAAUUUGCCAUCUAACAAAGACGUGAGACAUUGCACGAACGGGCCUCCUAAUGACCUAAAGAGCAGGAAGGUGUUAUCACAAGAGGAUGUUGCUGGAAAUGAGCCUGUUACCAGGCCAGAGUAGGUCAAGAGUCCAAAGCUCAGGUGGUGCCCGGUGACUGGUCAUCUAAUAGAAGGAUAAAAGGAGCAGAUGUGGCUUUGUGCAGUUCAUCUCCAGGCUGAGAAUGUGGAUUCAGUACAUCAUAAUGCUGUCAACACCUGAAAAUAAGAUGACAAGAUGAAAAUCAGGAACUUGUUUCUGCUAACAUUCCAAUCCAAAGACUGAGAACGUAAAUGAAAAUAGCAAUGGAAGUUUUAUAUGGUUUUGGAAUAAGCAGUACUUUAUACCUGCAAAUGCAUUAUGGGUAUGCUCAAAGCUGGUUUGCAUUUGUGUCUACAAUAGCAGACCUACGCACUACUUUUCUGUUCUUUUUUCCUGUCUGGUUUCACUUGCAAACAACAGUAGGAGUGAAGCUGGUAUGGGUUGCUGUAGUGGGAGACUGGCUCAACUUGGUUCUCAAGUGGCUCAUGUUUGGGGAGCGUCCUUAUUGGUGGGUUAAAGAAACUGUUUAUUAUGGCAACUUAACUGUACCACAAAUCAGACAGUUCCCAAUGACCUGUGAGACGGGUCCUGGAAGUCCCUCUGGUCAUGCAAUGGGAGCUGCAGGAGUUUAUUAUGCUAUGGUCACCUCACUGAUGCCGAUUUUGCAAGGCGGUGAUGCCAUGAAAAGAUGGUGCGUGCAGGGUCUUCUUUGGACUCUGUUCUGGGGUGUGCAGAUAUGUGUCAGUCUUUCACGGGUCUUCAUUGCUGCUCAUUUCCCACAUCAGGUCAUUGGUGGAAUUGUUACAGGAAUUGCUGUGGCCAAAGCUUUUAACAGAGUUUCUUGGAUCUACUCAGCCAGUUUGAAGGGUUAUAUGCAAACCAUACUCUGUUUGCUAUUUGUUGCCGUUGGACUUUACAUCCUGUUGGAUGCUGUCUCAAUAGAUCCACACUGGAGCCUAAUAAAGGCACAGAAGUGGUGUAUUCAGUCUGAAUGGGUCCAUCUGGACACUACACCUUUCGCAGGCCUCCUCCGCAACACCGGUGCACUGUUUGGCCUAGGGCUCAGUCUCCAUCUGCCUAUUCAGGGUGAUAUGGAUAAACAUUGUGGAAACAGUGCCAUCUAUAGGUUGACGUGUACUGCAGCAACAUUGCCACUCCUGAGCUUCCUAGACUCGUUUAGAUUACCCACUAGCACUCAUUCUCUUUUUUACCUGCUGUCUUUCUGUAAGAGUGCCACCGUGCCUCUGACCACCAUAAGUGUUGUACCUUAUUGCAUAAGCACAUUAGCCAAUGCAUACCAGAGAAUUAAAGUACAUUUAGCUGAGAAAAACACAACAUGGUUUUUCAAUUAGAUCUGUAUUUGGAAAUAAGUUCUUAACUUGGGUUGCUUGUGAGUUUUUUUAAUACACUCCAAGUAAAUAUUUUUUAAUAAUAAUCAUUGAAUAGUUAAAAAUAAUAUUUUAUGUAUUCAUUUUUACAAUGCAAAUAGAAUAGAAUAGAAUAGAAUAGAAUAGGGGUAUUAACAUGGAAAUUAGGAUUGAUAUAUCUAAGUGUUCAUUUGAAUCUUAAAAUAAUUUGGAAGGAAUUCCCAUCAUUUGUUAAGGUAAAACCUCCAAACGCUAUGCAAAUUUCAUACGUAAACAGUGAAAUGUUCUGCAUCCGUUGUUUAAAAUAUAAAAUGCCCCCAACUAGAGGUCCCUCAGUGAAUCUCGGCCAUUUUCCACCACUGACAGUAACAUUAUGCUAUAGCGCCAUCUAGUGACAUGACUUUGCUUUUACCCGAACACAGCAUGUUUUAAUCAUGUGUUUUACUUGACUAACUUUUGUAAAUAGUUAACAGCUAGUGUUUACAUAAAUAAAAAUGUUUCGUUAAAAAAACUAAUCAUUGCUACCUCGCGUUUGUCAUUUAAUCGCAAGACCUUUACGUUAAAAAAUUCUACCGGAAGUUCUAAAGUGUGUAAACAGAAGCGCGCAGUCAUGACCCGUGACUGUCAGAGAUGAAACAUUGUGCGCUGUGCGCGGUUAAUGUACCCUCCACUUGCACUAUGAAGCAUGCUGUAUUCGGGUUUGUUUUAUGUAACUGCAUGAGGAAAUAAGACCGAAAUUAAAUCCUGCGAAUCAACUCCACCCAGGCAGAAUUGAGGAAGGUGCGAUGCCGCGGCGGAAGGCUUUGGUUUUAUUGGACACGUAGAGAAAUGCUGGCAGUAGCUCUGAUGGUACGGAGGACUCAGACUUCUCUGCUGAGCACACAGACAGCUCAGAGAGUGACGCCCACACGGUU